rfam:Dehalobacter sp. CF, complete genome.
GUGAUGCUGCUCUGUUUGUAUGGACUAUCAUGGUUUUGAUCCUAUUUUUUUCUCGGGAACUGAGUAGUGGCAGGUUGUGUACAUCAUGCUUUGUAAAAAGAAGAUGGAAAGAUCUGUCUAGGUACCCACCUGCAUGUGCAGGGUCAGAAAACCAGAUGUCUAACGGCAAAGCGGGAAAGAG